AUACGAAGGGUGCAAGCGUUAAUCGGAAUUACUGGGCGUAAAGCGCGCGUAGGUGGUUUGGCAAGUUGGAUGUGAAAGCCCCGGGCUCAACCUGGGAAUUGCAUCCAAAACUGCUUGGCUAGAGUACGGUAGAGGGUGGUGGAAUUUCCUGUGUAGCGGUGAAAUGCGUAGAUAUAGGAAGGAACACCAGUGGCGAAGGCGACCACCUGGACCGAUACUGACACUGAGGUGCGAAAGCGCGGGGAGCAAACAGGAUUAGAUACCCUGGUAGUCCACGCCGUAAACGAUGUCAACUAGUUGUUGGGCUCCUUGAGGGCUUAGUAACGCAGCUAACGCAUUAAGUUGACCGCCUGGGGAGUACGGCCGCAAGGUUAAA
rnacentral:rRNA from 1 species